ACGUAGGGUGCGAGCGUUGUCCGGAAUUAUUGGGCGUAAAGAGCUCGUAGGCGGUCUGUCGCGUCGGCUGUGAAAACCCGGAGCUCAACUCCGGGCCUGCAGUCGAUACGGGCAGACUGGAGUUCGGCAGGGGAGACUGGAAUUCCUGGUGUAGCGGUGAAAUGCGCAGAUAUCAGGAGGAACACCGGUGGCGAAGGCGGGUCUCUGGGCCGAUACUGACGCUGAGGAGCGAAAGCGUGGGGAGCGAACAGGA
rnacentral:rRNA from 1 species